GGCGGAGUGGUAGAGUGGUUAAUACGGUAGACUCGAAAUCUACUGCCUUCGGGCGCGCAGGUUCGAGUCCUGUCUCCGUCG
rnacentral:tRNA from 1 species